GGCUUUUUUUUAUCUUUGUUUUGCAGUACUUAAAUAACUGCCUUUAAAAAGGAGCUGGAUUCAGCCGUGGUACUGUGCCUACCCAAAUGACUUUAAGGAGUGAUGAGCAAUAAAGGUUGCUUGCAUUGUACUUCAGUUUUUUUAUGUGUUGGUGGAGUUGAAAGAACAGGCAGGUUUAUUUCAACUGAUGGGUUUAUCUUAGAUCUAGGUUUAUUUUCGUUGUAAAAAUACUCUUAUCUCCAUGCUUGUGCUACGUGCACAAAAGGGAAGCAGGACGUUGUUCAUGCUGUAGGGGGCACUCCUUCCCAAGGUAAAGCUGAGUUGCUCAUGACGAAAACCGUGCCUAUGCAAGGGGCUGCCUAUAAAACAAAGGAGAAAGUUUUGCAAAGUGGGUGCCUGGGAAUAACUGCGUGCAGGAGAACAUCAAGACAAAGGUCUUGGUUGUGUUAAUUAUGCCUAAAAAUAAAAGCCAAGUUCAUGGUUGAAUGGAAGUCCAGCUAAUUUUGUCCACCUGCUCCUGGAAUUACACCACAUCCAAUUGAUGGGAGGUGUGCUUACUUUCAUAAUAGUGACCCUCCCUUCUUUCCUUAGCAAAAAAUGAUGGGGGAAAGUGACUUUGUCUAGCAUGGGAUAUCAGAUGUACAGGGCUGUAGGUUAUAAUUUGCAAAAGACUUCAAGUUCAUUAAGCAACCUUAUUUCUUUCAAAAAUACAAAUUAAAUCUGAAUUAGAAUACUGUUUGCAGUUAAAAUACUGCUAGGUUAGUUAUAACAUCUGGACAGAUACACACCAUGUAGUUUAUUUAGGAAUGUGGAACCUAUACAUAAAAAUGAAUUUUGAAUGUUUUUUUAUCUACUCUGGAAAUUAAUUGAGGAGAUAGAAGUUGCACAGCUCUACAGUACACAGGCCUUUAACGAGUUCCUGGAAAGAAAGGGCUACCAAAAGCCUCAGUUCCUUCUGAAAAUGCUGGCUGGGACAAAUUAUAAUGGAGCUCAAGAGAAGAUGUUCAAAGCUUUUAAGAAGUGAUGUCAAAAGAGAUAAGAUGAAAGAAGCUUCUUCCACUACUGUUAACACAGAUUUCUAAAUUCUCUGUGAAUGAACAGAAGCUAAUAGCUGAACUGUUCCUUAAAUGUUCUUACAUUAGAGUACACAUAAAAAUAGUUUUGAGUUCUUUUCUGAAGUAGACAAGUAGUUUGAAGAUCAGUCUCGGACCACCAAAUUAUUGGCAUAAGCCAUUUAGAUAUCUUAGCAGUUCUUAGACUGGCUGAAAGGCACUCCUGUGCUCUAACAUACUGACUUAAUCAAAAGUCCUGGAUUACAGUCAGCUUACUAAUUUUUAAGCAUCCACAUUGUACUUACUGCUUCAAUCUAUAUUACCAGCAUCCAUUUGAGAAUGAACUGUAAUUUUAGCUCUGUUUCAGAGAUGAACAAAGGACAAGGUGUUGGCAUCUGUUCAUUUCAUUAGGGGUCUCAUAUUUUAAAUGACUUUGCAGCAUUGGAUGUACAAGCUGAGUCACUUGCUGGAUGGAUACCAAUGAGAGAGGCUCCAUACCACAGGCUUUCCAUUGCAUGUGUGACACUUUAUAGGUUAGAUGAAGCUUAGAGGCUCAGAGCUCUAGCAACUGAGGCUUCAGCUGAUGCCUGCUCAUCUGCCAAGUAUUGUGGCAGUUAAAUAGGAGUCCCCAUUCACUCACUCACUCACUCACUCACUCACUCACUCAACUGUGAUCGUUGCUGUAUCUGACCCCAAGCUGUACCCAACACAGUCACAGGUAGUCUGCAGCAAGGCACAGAGCUGAAUUUGAUCUCCCAAACCAACCUGCUCUAGUGACCAUCUGCCCCACUCAGUUGGGAUUUGGCACACAUAUCAAAUCUGAAUGAUUUCAAACUUGUUUACUUCCAUCUUACUUGGAAUUGGAAAUUUCACAUUUAGACAGUAUGUUCCAGAAUGGUGGCAGAGCCACAAUGACUGCUGGCUUUGCAUAGCUGUAACUGUAAGGGCUGCAUAGGCAGAUGAAGUGCAGCCUUAUCAUGACCUAUAAACAUCACAGCACUCCUACAUGGUGGAGAAACAUCUGCUUCAGAACUUUCAAGAUCAACAUUUUUGUGAGACAAAUUUCAACAAGCUGAGUACCUAAUCAAUAUAUUCUUCUAGAUAGCCAUGUCAGUACACUGCAGAAGUCUUUUUGCCUCAAUUUGUGUUUCUUAUUUCUUUGAAUUGGCUGUCUUUUGCAGGAAGGAGGGGAGAGGCUGAUAUUCUUCUAAGUUCAUUUUACCUAACUCUGGUGUAUUGUUAAUUUAGUCUGAUUUCCUCUUUUGAUUUCCAAAACCAGGCCUCUAUAAGAUUACUUUAUCUUUAGGAAAGCUAUCUUCCAUACAAAUUGAGGAGCCCCCAGCAUACCCAAAAGGUAGAUUUUCCCAUGCAGUGCAGGGAAAUUCUUACCUGCAGAUCAUAAUGUUCAGAGGGAUUUUAGGUAUUAUUUGGAUUUUUAAAUCCCAGUCCUGCACAGAAUCAGGGUGCCUUGAAGCUGCACUAUUAUGCAGAGUUGAUGCUAAAAUAAUAAAUCAGUUCAACCUCUAUCUGUCAAAGGUUCUGCAAGUGCAUCGUAAUAUUUCAUUCUCAGUAUUUCAGGAGCCUUCACCUGCAAGUAAAGCAGUUGCUGAGGGAGAGCUUCUUGUGAAGUAGGCAAUAAUAUAAUUAUAGACUUGGCUUUUUCUUAUGAACACCACUGGAACAUAACAGACUGCUGCAGAAAGAAGUUUAUUUAAUGUUGAAUUAACAAAGCUAAAACUGUGACGAUAAUGUUUUUUGCUGUUUUGUUGUUAUUGCAGUAAUUUGUGCAGCCACAUAAGGGCUUUUCAGAACAACCUAAGCCUUUGCAAUCAACUUCUGCCAACACUGAGGAACAUAUUAGCCAUCCCAAAUACAACAAUGGACACCUUGUGCACUCACAUACAUUAUGUCUAUGGACAAUACCAAAUGUAAUGCAUUUAAAUGCAGUGGACAAUACAGAAUCAGCUCCUUUAUUUGGUGGAGGUUUCCUAUAUGAACAGAAAAAAAGACAGUUGUAGAAAAGGGAAUGAAUCUCUAACUAGGGCCCCUGCUCUUGCAAGUGAGGCAGCUUCAUAGGAUUUUUUUUUUUUUUUCCAGCUCUAAAUG